CCUGGACCUGGCGCUGCUGCGGGAGCUGCUGCUGUGCUGUGCGUGGCCGCGGGCAGAGAGCAAGUGGCUGUUUCUACGCUCGGUGCCCGGAGACCAGGGCGCUCAGAAUGGUUAGCAACCUGACACG